ACGGGAGGCAGCAGUGAGGAAUAUUGGUCAAUGGACGGAAGUCUGAACCAGCCAAGUCGCGUGAAGGAAGACGGUUCUAUGGAUUGUAAACUUCUUUUGCUCGAGGGUAAAGUGAGCCACGUGUGGCUUAUUGCAAGUAUCGAGUGAAUAAGCAUCGGCUAACUCCGUGCCAGCAGCCGCGGUAAUACGGAGGAUGCGAGCGUUAUCCGGAUUUAUUGGGUUUAAAGGGUGCGUAGGCGGGAUGUUAAGUCAGCGGUGAAGGUUUGCGGCUCAACCGUAAAAUUGCCGUUGAAACUGGCGUUCUUGAGUGUAAACGAGGUAGGCGGAAUGUAACGUGUAGCGGUGAAAUGCUUAGAUAUGUUACAGAACCCCGAUUGCGAAGGCAGCUUACCAGCAUACAACUGACGCUGAGGCACGAAAGCGUGGGUAUCAAACAGGAUUAGAUACCCUGGUA
rnacentral:rRNA from 1 species